rnacentral:miRNA from 1 species
UCCAUCCUCCUGUGACAUGAA